rnacentral:rRNA from 1 species
UNUGCUGGAACUCAACUGACGNUAAUGCGUGAAAGCGUGGGGAGCAAACAGGAUUAGAUACCCUGGUAGUNCACGCCCUAAACGAUGUAUACUAGUUGUUGCUAAGCUAGUCUUGGCAGUAAUGCACCUAACGGAUUAAGUAUACCGCCUGGGGAGUACGGUCGCAAGAUUAAAACUCAAAGGAAUAGACGGGGACCCGCACAAGCGGUGGAGCAUGUGGUUUAAUUCGAAGAUACGCGAAGAACCUUACCCGGACUUGAUAUCUAACAAAUCAUCUAGAGAUAGAAGAGUGUCUGCUUGCAGAAAUGUUAAGACAGGUGCUGCACGGCUGUCGUCAGCUCGUGUCGUGAGAUGUUGGGUUAAGUCCCGCAACGAGCGCAACCCACGUCAUUAGUUGCUAACAGUUCGGCUGAGCACUCUAAUGAGACUGCCUUCGUAAGGAGGAGGAAGGUGUGGACGACGUCAAGUCAUCAUGGCCCUUAUGUCCGGGGCGACACACGUGCUACAAUGGCAUAUACAAUGAGAAGCAAUAUCGCGAGAUGGAGCAAAUCUAUAAAAUAUGUCCCAGUUCGGAUUGGAGUCUGCAACUCGACUCCAUGAAGCCGGAAUCGCUAGUAAUCGUAGAUCAGCCAUGCUACGGUGAAUACGUUCCCGGGUCUUGUACUCACCGCCCGUCACACCAUGGGAGUUGAUNUCACU